rnacentral:rRNA from 1 species
AUGCCUUACACAUGCAAGUCGAACGGCAGCACGGGUGCUUGCACCUGGUGGCGAGUGGCGAACGGGUGAGUAAUACAUCGGAACAUGUCCUGUAGUGGGGGAUAGCCCGGCGAAAGCCGGAUUAAUACCGCAUACGAUCUACGGAUGAAAGCGGGGGACCUUCGGGCCUCGCGCUAUAGGGUUGGCCGAUGGCUGAUUAGCUAGUUGGUGGGGUAAAGGCCUACCAAGGCGACGAUCAGUAGCUGGUCUGAGAGGACGACCAGCCACACUGGGACUGAGACACGGNCCAG